rnacentral:ncRNA from 2 species
GAUCGUGCCGCCCGUGUCGGUUCCCCGCGGGACGUCCGCGGGGAGGAAAGAGGGAACACGGGACGGUCUUCCACGAGAGCGAUCUCGGGAGCCGGAGCCGUGGCUGCCCCCGCAACUGUGAGCGGCGAGCCGCAUCCACCACGGGCCACUGGGAAACCGGGAAGGCCGGAUGCAGCGACGACCCGCGAGCCAGGAGACCUGCCGACACGGUCACCCAACC